UGCCCUUAAUCCAUGCUUGUCCAGGUAGCAUCAUCAUCUUAAAAGAGACUCCUCCAAAAACCCUGUGGGAAAAAUAUGAGGAGUAUAGGGUUUGAUAUGUUGCCAAAACUCUUUCAAACCCAGCGGGAAAAAUAGAGAGAAAAAUAAUGCAACAUAUAAUAAUUAUUGUCUCUUUCAACUCAAUAUGAGAAAACUCAUAGAACUAAAAGGACAAUAAAUAUGUCGUAUAUACUUUCCUAAAAACCCCGAUGGGGAAAACUGAAAGUAUGACAUAUGAUCUCAUGUUGAUAUUACCUCAUUAAAAACCUUUAUGAGAACCUGUAAAGUAAACUCAUGAAGGGAAAAAAAGUAUAAUAUGAUGCAUUGAACAGGAACAAUUCAGAAAGAUACUCCCCCCGAUUCUUGUAAAAUUCGAAGUCGUCACCUACCAAUUCCAUGAACACAUUUCUAGAACAUAGAAGUUAGUAGAAGCCCGACGAACAAAUCAGUCGAAUGAUUUGACUUGCAAGAUAUGCAAUAUAGUGAUAUUGCUUAUUAUGUAACCUGUUUGCAUCCGGGCAACACAAGAAACAUUAUCGUUGAGAUAAUGGUUGGUGGGUGUAGCCAUGAGGUCUGUUUCGAAUACUCCUCAUGAGAAGGCUACUACACCUAGGAGGAACACUAAGCUUGUCUACGAUCUGAUAUAGUAGAGAUCUGAUUGAUGUACCCAACGAUAUCGGUGUUCACAUUUCUGUGAAACUGAAAAACCAGGACAAGAUGUUUGAUGCCUAUGCAGAUUAUUGAUGACUACAUAUUAUCGAUGGACAAGAAAAUUGAUCUCAACCGCAAUGAGAUUAUCUUUCAAGAAAAAGAAAUUUUCUCAAUCGCAAAUGUCGUGCGAGAAAACUUAAUCUCAAUCGCAAAACAGUGUCGUUGUACUAAUAUGACAUGUUAUAGGAAUUGCUAAAAAGCAAACACAUUAAACAUGCCACAUAUAAUAACCACAUAUUUUUUGGAAUGCUAAACUCAACAGAAAAUGGGCUAAAUGAUGAUCGGUAUAUGGCCUAAACAUUACCAGUGCUAUAAAUAGCAAGUAGUUGGACCAAGCUGCAAUAUCCCGAAACAUCCCGGAAGUAGCCACAAAAUGAUGACAGACACAAGUUUUGGGCUAUUCCGUAAAUAGGUAAGCCGCAAGGGCUAAAUUGCAAAACUAGCAAAGAGAUAAGGUUCGGUUCUAUCUCUUUCCUCCCCAGCGAUUUCCACCAGGAGAAAUCGUGUAACCACCUCGUCGCCGUUUUGGCUCGACGGCCAGGGCCACGACUAUGAGCCCGCCGUCGUCUCCACCGCGGGGAGCCACGACAGAGGGAGCAGCCGCCACCGUGGCCGGAGGGCUAGCGUCGGGCCGUUGCCUCGGGCGCCGCCUGCACGGAUGCAAGCCGAGGGCUGCGGCGUCGCCUCUGCCCGGGCUGUGGACCGCGCUGCCGCGUGCCUGAGGGCAUCGCCAUGCCUGGCACCGGCCGUUGGCCGCUGCGGCCGCCUCCAGGUGUAGCGCUAGGAGCAGCCGGGCCGAAGGAUGCUACCGCUCCGCUAGGAGGCUGGCCGAGGGAGCGCUGUCCAGGCCAUGGGUCGCCGACGAAGUUUGCCUUGGAUGGCAUUCAAACGACGCCCUGGAGAUCGUGAGACUUGCCGCGCCUGGGUGGGUGCUGGCUGCCGCCGUCUUCGCCGACCGAUGUGCCGUGAGCGGCCAUGGGGCGUGGAGACGCGUCGUGCGCCACCAUGGCGUGGGGGCCGUGGCCGGUAGCCGCCGGGAGCCACGGCUGCGUGUGUAGGCGAAGGAGCCGAACAUCGGAUGUUGGCUCGCCGUGUCAGCCUCUGGGGCCGAGGGGCGCCGUGCAGCACGCGCAGGCCGGAGGGAGCGUCACUGCGGAGGGCCGGCCGUCUCGCAGCGCCUUGGUGCCGCAUCCGCCGCCGUUCUUCCGCUGUGACCUAUUUCUCUAAUCGAGAGUGGAGUGCGUGAUAACGUGUUCGAGAUCGAUAGAACAAAUGAUUGAACUAUCUCUUUGCAUUAGAUGAAGUGCCAUACAUAGCACUGGAACAUGCGUUUACAAACGGGGUGUCGGUUCAGACAGAACCGACACAACGGGUGGAGAAGUAACCGCAAUGGUUAAUACAAGCAGGGAUUAAUCCCUUAAUUGCUAUGUUAAUUAAUCUUAACAGUUUAAUUAGGGACGAGAAUAGUCGUCUACUAGUUGAUGCCAACCAUAAUUUGAUGUAACGUUGACGCAUUCAUCUCAUGUAUUCAAGGCUGCGGGCUUAGACGCUGAAUUAUUAAUGGGAGAAUGGGUCAAAUAUUGAAUUCGGGAUGACGAGAGAAUCUUCAAUUCUUGCCAAUAGAUACUUUUCUUUUUGCGAGCAAGAUACUUGAUUUUUGUUGGUUUUGUUUUCAAUGAAAAUGGAG
rnacentral:rRNA from 1 species